rnacentral:rRNA from 1 species
GGUUAAGCGACUAAGCGUACACGGUGGAUGCCCUGGCAGUCAGAGGCGAUGAAGGACGUGCUAAUCUGCGAUAAGCGUCGGUAAGGUGAUAUGAACCGUUAUAACCGGCGAUUUCCGAAUGGGGAAACCCAGUGUGAUUCGUCACACUAUCAUUAACUGAAUCCAUAGGUUAAUGAGGCGAACCGGGGGAACUGAAACAUCUAAGUACCCCGAGGAAAAGAAAUCAACCGAGAUUCCCCCAGUAGCGGCGAGCGAACGGGGAGCAGCCCAGAGCCUGAAUCAGUGUGUGUGUUAGUGGAAGCGUCUGGAAAGGCGCGCGAUACAGGGUGACAGCCCCGUACACAAAAAUGCACAUGCUGUGAGCUCGAUGAGUAGGGCGGGACACGUGGUAUCCUGUCUGAAUAUGGGGGGACCAUCCUCCAAGGCUAAAUACUCCUGACUGACCGAUAGUGAACCAGUACCGUGAGGGAAAGGCGAAAAGAACCCCGGCGAGGGGAGUGAAAAAGAACCUGAAACCGUGUACGUACAAGCAGUGGGAGCACGCUUAGGCGUGUGACUGCGUACCUUUUGUAUAAUGGGUCAGCGACUUAUAUUCUGUAGCAAGGUUAACCGAAUAGGGGAGCCGAAGGGAAACCGAGUCUUAACUGGGCGUUAAGUUGCAGGGUAUAGACCCGAAACCCGGUGAUCUAGCCAUGGGCAGGUUGAAGGUUGGGUAACACUAACUGGAGGACCGAACCGACUAAUGUUGAAAAAUUAGCGGAUGACUUGUGGCUGGGGGUGAAAGGCCAAUCAAACCGGGAGAUAGCUGGUUCUCCCCGAAAGCUAUUUAGGUAGCGCCUCGUGAAUUCAUCUCCGGGGGUAGAGCACUGUUUCGGCAAGGGGGUCAUCCCGACUUACCAACCCGAUGCAAACUGCGAAUACCGGAGAAUGUUAUCACGGGAGACACACGGCGGGUGCUAACGUCCGUCGUGAAGAGGGAAACAACCCAAACCGCCAGCUAAGGUCCCAAAGUCAUGGUUAAGUGGGAAACGAUGUGGGAAGGCCCAGACAGCCAGGAUGUUGGCUUAGAAGCAGCCAUCAUUUAAAGAAAGCGUAAUAGCUCACUGGUCGAGUCGGCCUGCGCGGAAGAUGUAACGGGGCUAAACCAUGCACCGAAGCUGCGGCAGCGACGCUGAUGCGUUGUUGGGUAGGGGAGCGUUCUGUAAGCCUGCGAAGGUGUGCUGUGAGGUAUGCUGGAGGUAUCAGAAGUGCGAAUGCUGACAUAAGUAACGAUAAAGCGGGUGAAAAGCCCGCUCGCCGGAAGACCAAGGGUUCCUGUCCAACGUUAAUCGGGGCAGGGUGAGUCGACCCCUAAGGCGAGGCCGAAAGGCGUAGUCGAUGGGAAACAGGUUAAUAUUCCUGUACUUGGUGUUACUGCGAAGGGGGGACGGAGAAGGCUAUGUUGGCCGGGCGACGGUUGUCCCGGUUUAAGCGUGUAGGCUGGUUUUCCAGGCAAAUCCGGAAAAUCAAGGCUGAGGCGUGAUGACGAGGCACUACGGUGCUGAAGCAACAAAUGCCCUGCUUCCAGGAAAAGCCUCUAAGCAUCAGGUAACAUCAAAUCGUACCCCAAACCGACACAGGUGGUCAGGUAGAGAAUACCAAGGCGCUUGAGAGAACUCGGGUGAAGGAACUAGGCAAAAUGGUGCCGUAACUUCGGGAGAAGGCACGCUGAUAUGUAGGUGAAGUCCCUCGCGGAUGGAGCUGAAAUCAGUCGAAGAUACCAGCUGGCUGCAACUGUUUAUUAAAAACACAGCACUGUGCAAACACGAAAGUGGACGUAUACGGUGUGACGCCUGCCCGGUGCCGGAAGGUUAAUUGAUGGGGUCAGCGCAAGCGAAGCUCUUGAUUGAAGCCCCGGUAAACGGCGGCCGUAACUAUAACGGUCCUAAGGUAGCGAAAUUCCUUGUCGGGUAAGUUCCGACCUGCACGAAUGGCGUAAUGAUGGCCAGGCUGUCUCCACCCGAGACUCAGUGAAAUUGAACUCGCUGUGAAGAUGCAGUGUACCCGCGGCAAGACGGAAAGACCCCGUGAACCUUUACUAUAGCUUGACACUGAACAUUGAGCCUUGAUGUGUAGGAUAGGUGGGAGGCUUUGAAGUGUGGACGCCAGUCUGCAUGGAGCCGACCUUGAAAUACCACCCUUUAAUGUUUGAUGUUCUAACGUGGACCCGUAAUCCGGGUUGCGGACAGUGUCUGGUGGGUAGUUUGACUGGGGCGGUCUCCUCCUAAAGAGUAACGGAGGAGCACGAAGGUUGGCUAAUCCUGGUCGGACAUCAGGAGGUUAGUGCAAUGGCAUAAGCCAGCUUGACUGCGAGCGUGACGGCGCGAGCAGGUGCGAAAGCAGGUCAUAGUGAUCCGGUGGUUCUGAAUGGAAGGGCCAUCGCUCAACGGAUAAAAGGUACUCCGGGGAUAACAGGCUGAUACCGCCCAAGAGUUCAUAUCGACGGCGGUGUUUGGCACCUCGAUGUCGGCUCAUCACAUCCUGGGGCUGAAGUAGGUCCCAAGGGUAUGGCUGUUCGCCAUUUAAAGUGGUACGCGAGCUGGGUUUAGAACGUCGUGAGACAGUUCGGUCCCUAUCUGCCGUGGGCGCUGGAGAAUUGAGGGGGGCUGCUCCUAGUACGAGAGGACCGGAGUGGACGCAUCACUGGUGUUCGGGUUGUCAUGCCAAUGGCACUGCCCGGUAGCUAAAUGCGGAAGAGAUAAGUGCUGAAAGCAUCUAAGCACGAAACUUGCCCCGAGAUGAGUUCUCCCUGACUCCUUGAGAGUCCUGAAGGAACGUUGAAGACGACGACGUUGAUAGGCCGGGUGUGUAAGCGCAGCGAUGCGUUGAGCUAACCGGUACUAAUGAACCGUGAGGCUUAACCUU